UAGUCAGAUGGCUCAGAUUCUGUAGCCUUAAUGGAUUUCUGGCAGAAGCCAAGGGUAAUAAUUAAAGUAAAAACCUUAAAGUAAUUUUUUUUCCAGUCUGUUUAAACACAGACUGCUAUUUCAAAUGCCUGUAAGUAAAAAAAGCAGAAAGCAGAGCACAUUUAAUUUGGGAGUUGAAGAUUAUUGUUCUGCAGCAUGCUCCACUGCAUGCAGUCUUCAAAGCUAAUUCAUAUCCCACACUCUUUUUGUCAGUAAAUCAGUACAUAUUUAUAUCAGUUUUUAGAUUUAACUAGUAUUUGUUCUUUUAAAAUCACUUCUUGUAAUGCUAUAGGAAUGGCAGUGCUGUCAUUUAUGUUUCUGUAGAACAUGUUUUUGAUAGUCUCAAGUGUAAAACUACAACAGGAAUACUGGUUUUUGAAAGAGGAAUUAGUGGCAGGGAAUGGGGAUUGGAUGGAAGAAAUCAGGGAAACCUGCAAGUUCUGGUAAAGCUUUCUCAGAUGUGAUAGCAUGGAGAGUAACAGGUGCUGUAGCACUGGUAAAACAGUCUCUGACUUGAUAGCCUGAAAAUUAGCAGGUGCUUCAACUUUGUUCUUUCAUGCUAGAAGAAAAGGAAGAUCAUAUGUGGUGCUGGAGGCUGUCAGCUACUACGUGGAGUUUGUGGGUGUUUGGUGAACUUAGAUCCCACCUGGCCUCUAAGGGUUCACACAAAAAAAGCCAUGAACCUGUCACAGAUCUCAGACCAGAAUAUUGCUGACUGUUCAAGACUGAGUACUGAACUUCAGGUAGAUACUCAUGAGACUGGAGCAUCUUUUAUGAGGAGAGACUGUGGGAGCUGGGCCUGUUUAGAAAAGACUGAGAGGGGAUCUCAUUAAUACAUACAAGUAUCUCAAAGGUGAGUGCCAGGAGGAUGGUGCCAGACUUUUUUCCAUUGGUGCCCAGUGACAGGACGAGGAGCAGU